AGCUGGUACGAAGGUAGUGAGUUAUCUCGAUUGUUCACAGUCAGUUACAGAUUGAACUUGUUCUACGCUUUCCCCCCUUCUCACUACUGUACUUGAUUAGUCUAAA
rnacentral:Y_RNA from 1 species